rnacentral:rRNA from 1 species
UACGUAGGCAGCGAGCGUUGUUCGGAGUUACUGGGCGUAAAGGGUGCGUAGGCGGCGCGGUAAGUCGGGUGUGAAAUCUCGGAGCUUAACUCCGAAACUGCAUUCGAUACUGCCGUGCUUGAGGACUGGAGAGGAGACUGGAAUUUACGGUGUAGCGGUGAAAUGCGUAGAUAUCGUAAGGAAGACCAGUGGCGAAGGCGGGUCUCUGGACAGUUCCUGACGCUGAGGCACGAAGGUCAGGGGAGCAAACGGG